AGCGCAGGCGGGAAGACAAGUUGGAAGUGAAAUCCAUGGGCUCAACCCCAUGAACUGCUUUCAAAACUGUUUUUCUUGAGUAGUGCAGAGGUAGGCGGAAUUCCCGGUGUAGCGGUGGAAUGCGUAGAUAUCGGGAGGAACACCAGUGGCGAAGGCGACCUACUGGGCACCAACUGACGCUGAGGCUCGAAAGCAUGGGUGCAAACA
rnacentral:rRNA from 1 species